rnacentral:tRNA from 2 species
GCACCUAUAGCUUAAGAGGAUAGAGCAUUAGACUCCGGAUCUAAAGAUACAGGUUCGACUCCUGUUAGGUGUGCCA